CCCGGUUGGCCAAUUUGCCCCCGUCUACCACGCAUUCCCCUAAAGCCUCUUGGACCAGUUUCACCUCGUUCUCCGGGAAGACCCGAAUUGCCCUAGAAAAAUUUAUAAAGAAAUUAUUAUUUAAAAGAGUGAUCCAAGCUUUCCGGUUGCUCCUUUUUCACCCUUAUCACCGCUGACGCCUGGAUAUCCUGGAAAUCCUCUAUAUCCUUCCUUCCCCUUUUCACCUGGUGCACCCAUUUGCCCAGUUUCUCCGCGGGGGCCUUCGAAACCCUAAAUAGAAAAAGUGUAAUCACCAAAUCUUUUUAUUUUUAAACCAUUUUUUUUAAUAAUAAAAUUAAGAUUCAAAAGUAA